UGUUUCAGAAUAAUCAGUUAUGCAGUCUCUCUCGCUAUCCAGUGGUUUAGUAUGCUUUUGAAUUGUUUGAUAUUUGUGAAACUGUUCUGUAAUGUUCCUGGCUUCUUUAACCACUGUCUAGAAAGGUUCUCUUGAUAAUAAAACCAGACUAAAGAAACUUACUUUGAAACGUCUGUUUACAAGACUAAGAAACCUGAACGCCUCCCCCAGCCCAAUAAAUAAAUAAAAAUAGGAUUGUAUCAAAAUUAGAAUUAAUGCGCAGUGCAAGGAACUGAAGAUUAGUUACGCAGCUAAGUUUAAAUUGCUUUAGAUUUUAUGAUUAAUGUAGUUUAACAGUUAAUUCCAUGCUACAGUUAUUCUCACUGCUAAACUACAUAUCCCAUAACCCCCUGGUUCAGAGUUCAAGGCUAUCAGGUGACCAGUGUUCCAAUCAAUAAUCAGGUAGGCUGACCAACAGACUGGGAUGGCAAAGCAAAGCAUGCUGAUAAAGGUAAGCAAAGAACUGUGAAGGAGAAGGUAUGUUUAGUUUGUUUAUGUGAACAGCUGAAUUCCCUGUUGUGUGUAAUGUUUACUACCCCCACAGUUCACAAGGCCCCACACUUCCAUGAAACUUUAUUGAACCAAGAAAGUUUGAAAUCCUUAUUAUUGCUGUUAGCAGUAUGGUAAAGCUUGGUUCUAAGUGAAUAGUGUGCUUUAAAUGUCAAAAUUAUGUUUAUUUUUUAUUUUUUAUGGGAGCGAGUGGCUAUGUGGCCUGGCAGUCAAUGGUUUUGUAUUAGCAUGCUGUUAAUCUGCCGUAUCCAUGGUAACCAUGUCUCCUGUUGUAGUUUUUAAUGUGUGAACACGUUUUUAACUAAGAGAAAGCCCUUGAGAACCCAAUGAGUUAAAGUGAAUUUAAUAUGUAUUCUCAUAAACCUUGCUGUCACACCUCUUGAUGUGUGGUUAUUUUCUACUUUCCCCUCAGGCAGUAACGCUAGAAGACGUAGCCUGUCCAGGAAAGCAAGAUUGGUUCAAAAAGCUUGCAUGCUUGUGUUUAAGAUUCAUUAAAACAUGAUAAUCCUCUUUACUUUUAAAUAGUCCCCCCCACCCUUUACACAUUCCAGGAUUAGGGCCUGCAUAGCUCUUUUGACCAGAUUUUUAUCUCCAGCUGCUUUGACUGAAGGGUUAACGUGUGUCUGUACGGAGAGGGUAGGACUCCUGACAAACAGAUAACACUGAUGACCCCCCCCCCUCACCAGCUGCAACCCAGUCAGGUCUUGCGUUUAUUUUAUUGAACAUUUUCCAUGUCUCAUCAACUGGAUUAGCCCCCUUGUUGGUGAAGAGAUAUUGUGUGGUAGGGUGGUUUGCGUCCGUAAGUGUUGUUGAGGCUUCCCACCACUUAGCACCCCUUCGCUUUAGGUGUUCGUGAAACUGUUCUAGAAUGUUCUAGAAUGUUCCUCGCUUCAUUAAGUCUAGAAAGGUUCCAUGAAUGCCAAAUAUUAUUUUAUUCAUCAAAACAAGUCUUUUAGUGACUGGUUUCACAGACUCUGAUUAGUAUUACAUUUGAACUCCCUUACCUAAGUUAACAUUGGUGCAAUUAAGCAGUUGAGUACUGUAACCAUGUACUGUACUGUACUGUAAACAUGAUCCUAAGUGUUGACGUGUCAUUCACAGGUGAGAUUGAUACCUGGCCUCCUCACUGCCCUUUCACAGCCCUCAUUACGAAACAACCCCCCUGGCCGUCUAAUCAAUCGUCACCAUGACUCCCUGGCCUCCUCGCUUUUCAGUUUGUGGUUCUUCACAACAAGUCUGCCCAGCAGCGCUGCAGCAUUCCUCGGAAGCAGAAUAUAAUUUUUUUGCAGACCGCCAACCUUUAAUGAGACACAGACAUGCCUCCCGCAGCUCUGUUUGAAGGCUGAGUGUAUCGGCUCUCUCUCUACUGACAGUGUUUGUGAGAUACGAGUUCUGCAGGAGUCCCCUGUGCUGUGCUGUACAGAGCAUCAGGGAAGGAAUGCUGUCCCCCAUUCCCACCAGCAGGAGGAGCAGCAUCUGCAUUGUCUCGGGGGAAGAAUGCAGCCACCGCUGACCCCCACCAGCUCAGGGACGUCCUGUUUGGCAGGUCUGGACAGCUAAGAUCCUGUUUGAAUAUCAUGUAUUUCUAGAGAACUGCUCAUCCCAUUGUAAUGCAACUUGGGUAGGGCAUUGUUUAGAACAGGGUGUUAAAGGAGACGUCCUUCUGUCUCUAAAUGCAUAUGCGGACUCAUUGUAUCAGUAUGCAUUGACAUGUGUAGCACACAGCACUUCACUAAGGAUAACAAUACCGCUAGGUGCUGACCUGGGAUCAGAUACAAUUGGACCUGUGCAAUUUGUAAUUAAUUGCAAUGUAAUUGUAAUUAUACCAUAUAAUUGAUUAAUUACAGUUCAAAUAUGCAUGUUUGUCAUUCGAUCAUUAUUCUUGUAUUUUCUACCACUUUUAGUGACCCCCUUUGUUUGAAAAAAAAAAAAAGUUAUGUAGUACGCAUCUGUAUUUAUACCUGUGACUAUUGCUUGUUUAUUCAGA